rnacentral:rRNA from 1 species
ACGGCCUCUGCUAAAGAGGAGGAAGGAAUGGGCAACGGUAGGUCAGCAUGCCCCGAAUUAUCCGGGCUACACGCGGGCUACAAUGGUCAGGACAAUGGGUAUCGACACCGAGAGGUGGAGGCAAUCUCCUAAACCUGUCCUUAGUUCGGAUUGUGGGCUGCAACUCGCCCACAUGAAGCUGGAAUCCGUAGUAAUCGCGUUUCAACAGAACGCGGUGAAUACGUCCCUGCUCCUU